UGAAGCUACUGAAGAGGCAACCCUUUUAGGGGCAAAGCAAAAGUCUUCUUUAGAUCCUCCUUCAGCCAAGCGACCACGGUCACCUAUUUUGCCAUUAGUAAGGUCCCCAGGGGUGAGACACAUGAUGUCCCAAGUGAGCUCUCCAUCUGUUAGAUCUCCAAUGGCAAUUAUCAAUUCUUCAAGGCAAAGAACUCCAUCACCAGCCCCAACUUCUAAUGAUAUCGAUAUGACAAAUCAGACAAGAGCGACUCCUUGUGGGAGUCACGGUAAGAAAUUGCUGACUUUUCUUUGAAAUUAUUUGUUCUGAUUUUUGUCGUUAUCUAUCCAUGUCUAUGAAUUAUUAUUUUUACAUUAAUUGAUUGCAUGCAUGUACUGCAGUUAUAUAAUAUGUAUGCAAUAGCCAUUAAUUGAUUGUUACAGUAAUCUAUUCAUGUCUAUGAAUUAAAUUAUAUUAAUUGAUUGUGUGCAUGUACUGCAAUUGCACAAUAUGUAUAAACUGAACAUAGAGUACUUGUCGAAAUGUCGCUGGUAUACUUAUAAUAUUCGUAUAAUACUUGUCAGUGCAGUAUUUUUACUUUACUUGUCACUAGUGUAUUUAUAGCAAUAUUUUUGUGCUUAGCCACAGGGAGAGCAAGAAAACUGAAAUCUACAAUGUGGAAAGAAUUUGAUCCAAUACGUACUAAUGAUAAACUAUCACAUGCUAAAUGUAUCCACUGCAAUAAGGUUUUCGUGGCUAGCCGAUCUUCUGGG
rnacentral:lncRNA from 1 species